rnacentral:lncRNA from 1 species
ACGAGAUAGGAGAUUCUAAAACAUCUAUAUGGCUUUAUCAAAAGAAAUUGAGAAAUACCCUUGAAGCAUUUUUUUUUAUGUUUUAUGUUUAUUUUUUUUAAGUAAUUAGAUUAGUGGGGUAGAUAAGAUCGUCAAAUUAGCCGUGUGUAACAACAAUAUGCAUGUUUGUUUAGUAACUUGGAUAGGAGAUUAUGCGGAAUGCGUGUUAUGUUGCAUGUAAAACAUGACUUCAUAUUCCAAUAACUUAAUAUAAACCAAAACCAAAACCAAAAAAAGAAGAAGACAAAAACUCUUAAAGUCUAACAAUGGUGUAUCUAAUAUAUAUAUAUAUAUAUACAUAUAUACUCUUCAUCAUUGUUGUGAUCAUAAUCUACACGAUGUAUGAUCGAUGACAAGUCAAUGAAGCUGAGGAUGAGCAGGAUUUGGUAGUGGUAAAUAGCGUCUGUUUAUAACUUCUAUGGGCUGGGCUUGUAAAAAGUAUAUAUAUGAUGGGCCUGUUCACUAGAGUCUAGAGGAAUGAAUAGACACACUUUUUGUUUAUAAUAUGUUUUUUUUUUUUCCAUUUUAUCUCGAACUUUGGUAUAAUAAAUAUGUUUAGUUAAUUAACCAUCCAUUUGAAUUUAGAAUGAGAGGGCCCUUUCCUUACGGCGUCUUUCCUCGUUAU